UGAGGAAUAUUGGUCAAUGGACGCAAGUCUGAACCAGCCAAGUAGCGUGCAGGAUGACGGCCCUAUGGGUUGUAAACUGCUUUUAUAUGGGGAUAAAGUGGGGAACGUGUUCCCUUUUGCAGGUACCAUACGAAUAAGGACCGGCUAAUUCCGUGCCAGCAGCCGCGGUAAUACGGAAGGUCCAGGCGUUAUCCGGAUUUAUUGGGUUUAAAGGGAGCGUAGGCUGUUUGUUAAGCGUGUUGUGAAAUGUAGGAGCUCAACUUUUAGAUUGCAGCGCGAACUGGCAGACUUGAGUGCGCACAACGUAGGCGGAAUUCAUGGUGUAGCGGUGAAAUGCUUAGAUAUCAUGACGAACUCCGAUUGCGAGGGCAGCUUACGGGAGCGCAACUGACGCUAAAGCUCGAAGGUGCGGGUAUCGAACAGG
rnacentral:rRNA from 1 species